UUUGCCCCUAGAGGCGUUGCAGACGUGACCGCGGUUUCAUGUUUGUGUCAUUGGGCGGCAUAGAAGAAACACGGCUGCGUCUACGCUUAGUGCCCGCCACGUGGGUGCAAAGAAUGAUUUCCAGCCGGACAUA